UACGUAGGGUGCAAGCGUUGUCCGGAAUUACUGGGCGUAAAGGGCGCGUAGGCGGCCAGCGCAAGUCAGUUGUGAAAUCUCCGGGCUUAACUCGGAACGGUCAACUGAUACUGCGCGGCUAGAGUGCAGAAGGGGCAACUGGAAUUCUCGGUGUAGCGGUGAAAUGCGUAGAUAUCGAGAGGAACACCUGCGGCGAAGGCGGGUUGCUGGGCUGACACUGACGCUGAUGCGCGAAAGCCAGGGGAGCGAACGGG
rnacentral:rRNA from 1 species